CGGGGUGGAGUGGGGUGAAGCAGCGCCCCGCCGCUCACCGGACUGCGCCCGCCGCUCCGGGUGCCGCUCGCCGCCGCCGCCGCCGAGUACCGCCGCGCUGCCACCUCCCGCCCGUCACCACCGCCGCCGCCACUCCGGUCAGCGCUACUGCAGCCGCAGUCCCCGCCGGGCGCCGCCGCCCCGGCCGCCGCCGCCAGCCCCAGCAGCAGGAGGAGGCAGCGGGACGCCCGGCCGCCCGCCGCCGCGGGCGCAGCCAUGUUGGCGGAGGCACCACGUGCCGCCCGCGGUCAGGUGACGAGCCGCCCUUAAAGGCGCCGGUGCCCCUCGGCGCCGUUCCCGCCCCGCCGGGAGGCGGGUCGCCCGCCUCAGGGGGAGCUGGGGCGCGGCGGUGCGUGUGGGGUUUGUGCUUCGUCCCCAGAGCAAAUCGGUGCAACGGAACCGCAGCUGAAGGACAGCCAACGGCACGCAGAUAGCAUUAAUGUCAGAGACUCGUACGAGCUGCAGGUCUAAGGCACAAAAAGUAAGUGCUUACACCUUUGUGUUCAAUAGCAGUAUGGAGCGUGAGAGUGCGUACGUGCUUGCCUCCUAAGAGAACCUUCAUCUCCUCUCUUAAUGGGGGAUGAUGCAACUCAGCAUCAUUUCAGAAUAAGGACUUAGGAAAAAAUAAAGAAAUGGUAAUUUCCUUGGGCAUUUCUGUUCGUGUACCCAUCCCAGGGUUUUGAUUUUUCACUUUUAGAUAUGGAUUUUACGAAGUAUGACACAACCAGUCUUUAUGGCAAAAAGAUCACCAUGGAGGGGGAAAAACAUCACUGUAGGAGGGGAAAACGAGAAACCUGCUUUUCUUUCCAAGUGAAUAUCAAAUCCUUUUACUGCACUUUUGGGGUUUUUUUACAGGCAUUUUCAUUUCAGGUGACUGAGAAGUUGUUUGUCACAAGCCAGGUGAAUAGCAACAUGCUAGUGUGCAAGCCAAGCAGGUCACGAAUGGAAACGUACUUUAUGGAGGCACGAUGGCCUCCUGCUUUGCUUUUGGGAGAGGUAGCCAUUUGCUGUUAGCAGCAAGAAGCAAAUUACUACCCCACUCUGCGCCAGCUCGGCUGGCUGGGACUUUGUGAUCAGAGCAAAGCUCUUCCCACUCAGCGUCCCCCUGCUAAGGGGCUGGGGGAGGAGCAGGUGCAGAUGCCUGCUUUCUUGUGUGGCAUAGGUCCAAAGUCCUGCUAGCUUGUUCACAGGCAGAAAGGGUGUGCUGCUUUUGUAUUCCCCUGUACGCAUUGCACAGCCAAGGUACAGAGCCUAAGGCAGCUCUCUCAGUCGAGAACUGUCGAUACCUUCUUCAUCAGGGAACUGGCAAUGCCCUUGUUUUCCUUUGAUUUUCCUGUAGCUCACUGUAGUUGUUGAAGAUGUUGGUGCUCUGUCAUUGUCCUGGUUUUGGCUGGGAUGGAGUUAACUUUCCUCCCAGCAGCUGGUACAGUGCUGGGGUUUGGGUUUGGCGUGAGAAUAAUGUUGACGACACACUGAUGGUUUAGUUGUUGCUGAGCAGUGCCUACGCUAAGGCAAGGACUUUCCAGCUCCCCGUGCUCUGCCGGGGGCACAAGAAGGCGGGAGGGGAGGGGGCGCAGCCGGGACAGCUGACCCCAACUGGCCAGAGGGAUAUUCCAUACCAUGUGACGUCAUGCCCAGUAUAUAAACUGGGGGGAGUUGGGUGGGAGGCAGCGAUCACUGCUUGGGGCCGGGCCGGGCAUCGGUUAGUGGGUGAUGAGCAAUUGCAUCAUCCAUCUCUUAUUUUGUAUAUUCUUUCACCAUUAUUAUUAUUUUCCCUUCCUUUUCUGUCCUAUUAAAUUGUCUUUAUCUCAA